GUUAUGAAAGUCGAAGGCAACAUGCUGAAGCUCGUAGAAGAUGAAGCAAAGGUUUCUUUAAACUUGAAGAACACUGCUGGCGUACAGGUAGAUGUCAAGAAUGAUGAGACCAGUAGCCUGAAGGAAAUUGAAAAUGUUGUUGUUUCUGUUAAUAAGGAGCCUCAGUUCGAUAAGAAAGACGUCAUUACUGCUAAUAAAUGAAUUUGCUAUGUCCCCCGUCAGUGAUGCUGCCGUUAAGAUAAAUAUGGCUAGGUCUGAUAUACAAGAAAACACUCCUACUAAUAAAGAUACUGACUAUGCAAAAAUGUCACCCGACGUCAACGAUGAAGACUUGACUAAGGUGAGUUCAUUAACACCAGAAGAUUCUAAUACUGAUUGUAGAAUUGUCGGAAAUAUGAAAGACGAUGCAAAGAAAGACAAAAUAGAGGAGAAUUCUUUCGUGUUCCCGAGCUUCAAUUUUAACAUCAGCCAAGACUGCCUAACUCCCAAGCUGAAUGAUGAUGAUGAUGAAAUCCAGAUUCUUGGUUCUACUCCAAGAACUAUAGAAAAAGCCGAAGUUACGGCCAAACAGGAAUUCUUUGAAGCGUAGGAAUUGAAGAGAGUUUUGGUCCCUGGAUUACACCAUUUAGGUGAAAGCUCGAAAAAUGUCUUCGAAACUGAUGGAGGUAAUAAAUUUAAUAAACGAAAUACUUCUUACCAAUAGCAUUGAAUAUUAUUUCUGACCUAAAAUCAACAAUUUCAGAUGGAAAAAAAGACCAGCAAAGGAUUAAUUGAUGAGAAGACUGCUGGGAAGAAGGCUGCAAAUCCUGGAGAAGUGAAUGAUAUCGAAGGUACGCGGGGGGCCGGUGACAACAACU
rnacentral:lncRNA from 1 species